UACGUAGGUUCUCUAAACAAAAUCAUACUACCAUGUUGAAACAACAACAGAACUUGCAGUUGGGAUAGAAAUAUCGUGUAUGACUCCCUGCGUUUUGUACAAAUUCUGUUGCUACCUCACUUGAUAAGAAUGCUCUCAACACAUCACUAGUGCCAAAUACAAAUAAAACAACAAAAAUAUAGAAAAAUAAACAAAAUAUAAGAAAGGGAUUGAUUUAGUUCUGGGGUAAGUAACUCCAGCCGCUGAAACACCCGAUCAUUAAAGCAAUUGGGUGGAGAAACUUACCGAAUUCUAUACAAAUCUCUAAAAGCUUUUGCAUCAUUUUCCUUCCGUGCCAUGCCAGGUUCCACAACCAAGUUCCGCGACGAAGACCCGACACUGAGCUUUGCUUGAUCUCGCUCCCACAAAGGGCGCCAUAUGCAGUCAAAAUAAGAAAUUUUUUUGAUGCGACGACACACAAACGCCAAAGAACACAAAUCCCUGUAAUCCAGAACUUCUUUCUCUAUUCCUAGACCUAAAAUCUUCGUCCAAAGCUCAUCCGGUAAACACCCCAUACUGAACUUGCAACACCUGGGCAUGUCCAAAGACCAUUGAAAUUCAGCCACUCCCUCCUUCCAAACAACGAAAAAAUUGUAAUUUGGAGUAGAAGAAUGCAAAAUUUUCAAAGCUUCAUUUGCAUAUCCCAAAAGCUUGAGUCCACGCUCUUGCACAUGUGUUGCUGCGAGAACCCUGUUGGUGGCAGCUGGAGGUAGACGACGACAGUUUCAUGCAGAACUGUCGUGUUUUGAUGACGGUUUCAAGGGCCAUGACACGUAGAAGGGCGAGGCCAUAUCCUGUACAGUUUGGUGUUUUUAUUUAUAUAUGUAUUUGACAGAUUUUUUUCCUGUUAGUUUUAUUUUUAUUUAGUUGUUACAUUGAAGUUUUUUGACGCUGGAACACAUUUCUAUCUAUACCUAUUAUAAACUCACACCUAAUUCAAGUUUCACUUCCUUUUAAAACACUGCUAUACAUCUGAUGAAAAGAAAAAGAAAAAAGCACUACAGGUUUUCGGGUUUGCAAAGAAAAUGAACAAAAAUCGCAAGACACACUAAUCUUGACAUCUAAUAGUUAUAAGAAGAUCCCUUAGAUUCAUCACGGGCUCCAUGGAAAUUCAUCCACGGAAGAUGGAUGGAUGAAUAAGAUACGAUACUUUUUACUUUUGCGUUUCGGCUUCCGUUUACUUUCAGAUCGCAGUGAAGCAGGGAAGAGCCUCACCAUAGACGCGCGGAAUGUGGUGUCGGAUUCUCGAGGCGAGCUGCGCAGCUCGCAACGAUGCAAGCAAGGAAGGAAUGCGUGGAAUUAGAAUCGGAAUAGACUUUUGUUACCCCGUGAAUCACGACCCAUCAAUAAAUCUUACUCACUUUCUCUCACUCUCGGUCGUCUUACCAGUCCCUUCCCCCCCAAGUGCUGCCCUUGCUGUCUACAUUGCGCUGUUUAAUCGGUGAAACCAUGGUCAGGAAGCACUGUAGGCUUACUUAGUACGGGGAGUUGGUGGAUGCCGCAGUUCCCAGGCCGUUGCCUUGUGUGUCUCGGAAGAAACCAAGAUCGAGCACAUUUGUGUCAAGCUGUGGGUGUAGUGACGGCAAUUGCCAUGGAAUAGGGGAAAUGCAGAUGUGGAACGGGCCGUUUUGAUGGCGUUCAAAUUCAAGUGAUUUAUCUGGGUUGGAGGUCAGUUGGGUUUUACUGCUGUUGUAUGCAUCCGCACUACAGCCAGCGGAUUACGGUGACACAGUUGAACAUGUCGAUUCUGGGUCGUAUCUAGUGGACCAGACGGAGAGUGACGCAAUUGUAAUUGAACAUUCGAGUUGUGAUUAUGGAACUGGGUUAGUCAUCCCGUGCCUCCUGGAGCAUACUAAUUGGACUUCAUUGAGCGUGAUGUACUUGGCAUAUUCAACUGUGGUACGUUCCCUACGUUACCUAUACUAUUUGGUUUAGGUUGUACUGAACAAGUGUUAUUCCAAUGGGUAGUUUCAGAGGUUCUGCACAAGAAGGGAAGAUGUGGAAAGAAAAAAACAAUUCUUUAUCUUCACAGAAGUAGUAAUGUUUUACCAAAAUCUCGUAAUCCCUCUUGCAAUUUUCUGAUGAGGAUAAUGUACUUUGUGCAGAAUUUCAUACAACUCGCGCCUCGACGUGUACUUGGGUUGAGUGCAGUAAACGAGCACUUAAUUCAUCGAAUCUCCUGGCGGCUAGUAACACUACACGAGUCCAUUUUGGUUCACGGGGUAACAAUGGCUCUAACCCAGUAUUUAAAAUUCUCGACUGCCAACAGAGUUACAUGUACGUUUACUCGAACACUACCUGACUCACCGCCGUCUUCUGCUCUUCAUCACCUUCAUACAGAUUAAAAUGGUUCUGGAAUCAUGUGAAAGAAAUUCGUUAUGAUGUUGGUUACGGCGGCACUUUGUUGAUUCGUCUGAAAUGACCUCUUUGUGGUUUUGUGAUACUUUUACGUUUUAAAGAUCUUUUCGUAGGAGAAUGGGUUGUUCAGGAUUUCGAAUUUGAAACUAGCUAGAAUUCUCGAGUUUUGAUUCUACACACAAAGAUCUUAACCUUGAGAAAUUCUGUUGUGCUUGGCUCUUAAAGGUACACCAGAAUGUAUCAAAGAUUGCUGUUGAUUUUCAUGGAUUCUUUACCUUUUGUUAACAGGAAAAGGGCUGAAUUUCCAGCCUUGAAGCAAACCAGCAUGAUGAUGGAUAGCGGAGAUUGUUUGUCCAAAUCUCCCGACGCCAUCCACGCCAAUUUAGCCAAGACAACACAUGUUCAUGUCACAUACCCAGUUUUCGACCUUGGAGUUCGGCCUUGGUAUGGUCCUUAUUACCUUCAAACUCAUGAAUUUGGUUCAUUCUUAUGUUUGGCCUCACUGGUGAUUUUGAACUUCGCGCAACUCCAACGUGACCGGGCCGUUAUAUAUUCACAUGAAUUUAUUAUAUAUCGUCAUUCGUACAUAAUGAUCUUUACCUCCUGUUGGCAGGUACAGGGUUGCUCCGCCAAUAAAACAACAAGAUUUUGAUAGAUUGUGGGAGCUCUAUGUCUAACUUUGUGAAAUCUGAGGGCACCACCAACUUGAAUGUGAGACAAGAAAUAUUAUGUGGGUUCCUGGAGGCUCUUGUCUCUGGAGAUCUUGUGGACAUCCUCUCUUUCAAUUCCAAUGGAGCCAAAUUCGUUAAUAAACAGGCAACAUGCACAAUAUCAUAGUUUCAUCUUAGUCAACGUAACAGAUCCUAAAGUUAACUGGAUACUUUGGGAUGAGAUGGUUUGUUCUUGUGAUUUGAGACUUAGCAUAUUGUACUUAUGAACAAGUGAAGUAUUGCUUCGAAAUAUUGCGUUCAGGUUACAUAAGCGUCUUUCUUCGUGGUCAAACAUCAUAAUCGCCGACAAUCCUGCAGACGUUGGGGGAUCGAAUUUAUAUGCAGCUAUUCAUGAUAUUAUACCAACAUUCCAACUUAACACAUUAUCGUUGAAGGUUAUCCUGGUACUCAGCGAUGUAGAUAUUGAACCUUUUCGUCUUGAGCCAAAUUUGUUGGCUGAUUCUCAAAUCAGAUUUAUGUUCUACAUGUUACCUGACAAUUUCGACUCUGAUCAUCGUGAGUUUUUAGCUCUUAAAUCAGUUAUUUUCGAUAGCAAUAGCCACUUCGAAGUCUUGGAUAUAGCAUCCACAAUGAGCCCUUUGUACUGGUUACAAAGAUAUUUCUCAUUUCUUGAGGACACAAGGUUCGCGUCAACUCCUGAAAAGUACACGAGGAUGCAUUCGUUGGCAUUUCGGGAGAUGUAAUCCCAGCAGUUGCUACACCCUCAGGUAAGAAGUUGGCACGAUACUUUCCGAAGCUAAGUUUUGGAGAUUUUCAUACCGAGGAACUGUCUCGGAAACUGUUGAAGUUCGUACUUGUGGCGUCAUGACAUAUUCCCAGAGAUGAUGUUGUACACCACGUAGAAUUAGUAACAUAUGCAAUGCAAAUGCCAUGCAAGUGCAAAUGAUGAACAUUUCAAAGAAAAGAUAUACGAUGAAUGCUCUCAACUGUCUUCAAAACUUCAUUCGCCUUACAACCCCAAGGUAAGUACUUCUUAGCGAAUCAUAUUGAUUGGUAACCAACUUCCUCUGAAAAUUUAACUUGGUUAAAAUUAAACUUUAAUGGUAACUCUUUUGUUUCAAUUUUAUUUAGUAUAUUUAUAUUCAAAGAUCUUAUAAUCAGGUGAUGUAUUUUUGUGCAUAGUUGAAAGAACAAUGUUUAAUUAUAUAGUUGAAAUAUCUGAAAUGUUUAUUUUUAAAGUUUUUGGUUUAGGAUCAUUUAUAAUUGCUGGAAUAGAAUAUUUUCAAAAACUUGUUUUUAAAACGUUUGUGAUGUUUUUGUUGCCUUGAUAUAGGAUAUGAAUUUCCAUCCCUUUUCGAAACAAGUGGAUUCAUCUUUUCUUGAAAAGACUUGCACAUGAUUUUUCCCAGCUCAAGACAUAUUGUGAGUCUUGUUCAACACCAGUUGGCUUUUAUGAAAAAUCUUAAAUGAAACAUUCUGUCACAACGGUAAUGCUUCGUUUUAUAGUAAUUCUUAUAAUUUUGACAUUUAAUAAAAAAGAAAGUGUAUAUUUGUUCUUUUAUUAACCACGAAUUUCAGAUCCUAAUCACAUACUCAGUGUUCCAAUUAUAAUAGAAAAGAUUAUUAAAAAUGUUGUUGUAAGCUCACUCAUUGAAGAAUCUUCUAGAAAGCCUCCUAGAAAAUCUUAAGAAUUACAUUUCAUGUAUCAAUGUGUCGCUUUAAAAAUCGUUCUCAUUAAAGUCAAGAAAGAUCUCGAGAAGGAUGUAUGUAAAUUUAGACGAAUUCAAUCUAAAUACGACUACGUGAAGCAUAACCAAGAAUUUGAAUGUGUGUGCCUGAGAAUCUUUGGUAAAUUGCCAAUUUUACUAAGAAGAGCAGAGUUGUUAUUGAGAAACUGUUGUAAAAAUGGCCACCAGUUUUGGAUUCGAAAUGUUAUCAUUCAGACCAUAAGCCAUGAAGACUUUAUUGAUAUAACUUCAAGCUUUGAGUGUUCUUCAUCACCAUUUGAGAUCUGUGUCUGAUAAAUCUUGGAUUGGAGUAUGCCCACCGAAAUGGUUACCAAUAACUAAAACUGAUAUUGAUAAAGAUCUAUCAAAGCUUCAGAAGUCUUACAUCCUUCACUCGGAAUACACCUAGUGGUGAUUUUAAUUUUUAGCAUGUUAUUUUUAAACUUGGAGAGGCAUACUUCCCAAUUCAAGCGACAGAACCAAUCUGUCUGAAAUUGAUGAACAAAUACUUAUGCAAGCAUCUUUUCAAAAAUUGGAUCGAACCCUUGUACUGGGAACUUCUACAUCUCUAAAAUCUGAAGACGUACCACGUGUAGGUCAGACCAGUUUACGGAACAUGAGAAUGUAAAACAUCUCCAAAUAUCUUCCGGCUUCCUGCCUGUGCAAUUUGGAAACAAUCUUUCAUAACUCGUAAACCCCGGAGAGUCUCAUUACACGUUCGGCAUAUAGUUUCCACGUAUACCUGCAAAGAGACACACCUACACAGAUCUAACAGACCCUGAUUCAAAUAUCAUCUUCGAUGAGAAUUCUACGAGUUUUCAUCACAUGUGGAGUGUAUGCGUUUUUCAACCAGUAUUUUACCCUUAGCACGUUGCGCCUUUUGGCAGUCCUUUUGGCAGCCCUCACUUCCUCGAACCUGAAAAGACAGUGUGUGUUCACUAGAUGAGUAAAACAUAACAGAUGCCACGUAGUGUAGGCCUCGAACAUUUCUUCAUUCUUUGAACAUUGCAUGUACUAUACUAUCAUGCUUUGGCCAAAGAAACUGCACCAACCAUCUUUUUGACGAUACACGUUUUUCUAACAUCGAGAUGACAAUUAGGUACGUAGGUUCUCUAAACAAAAUCAUACUACCAUGUUGAAACAACAACAGAACUUGCAGUUGGGAUAGAAAUAUCGUGUAUGACUCCCUGCGUUUUGUACAAAUUCUGUUGCUACCUCACUUGAUAAGAAUGCUCUCAACACAUCACUAGUGCCAAAUACAAAUAAAACAACAAAAAUAUAGAAAAAUAAACAAAAUAUAAGAAAGGGAUUGAUUUAGUUCUGGGGUAAGUAACUCCAGCCGCUGAAACGUCGUUCAUUCCGACCUCAAUUUCUUCUGAAACACCCGACCAUCAAAGCAAUUGGGUGGAGAAACUUACCGAAUUCUAUACAAAUCUCUAAAAGCUUUUGCAUCAUUUUCCUUCCGUGCCAUGCCAGGUUCCACAACCAAGUUCCGCGACGAAGACCCGACACUGAGCUUUACUUGAUCUCGCUCCCACAAAGAGCGCCACAUGCGGUCAAAAUAAGAAAUUUGUUUGAUGCGACGACACACAAACGCCAAAGAACACAAAUCCCUGUAAUCCAGA
rnacentral:lncRNA from 1 species